UACGGAGGGAGCUAGCGUUAUUCGGAAUUACUGGGCGUAAAGCGUACGUAGGCGGCUUUGUAAGUAAGAAGGUGAAAGCCCGGAGCUCAACUCCGGAACUGCCUUUUAGACUGCAUCGCUUGAAUCCAGGAGAGGUGAGUGGAAUUCCGAGUGUAGAGGUGAAAUUCGUAGAUAUUCGGAAGAACACCAGUGGCGAAGGCGGCUCACUGGACUGGUAUU
rnacentral:rRNA from 1 species